rnacentral:tRNA from 1 species
AGUGAAAUGGCCGAAUUAAUGGUGAUAGAUUGUAAAUCUAUUUAUGAAUAAAAAUUCUUUUACUA